rnacentral:rRNA from 1 species
UACGUAGGGUGCGAGCGUUAAUCGGAAUUACUGGGCGUAAAGCGUGCGCAGGCGGCUUUGCAAGACAGAUGUGAAAUCCCCGGGCUUAACCUGGGAACUGCAUUUGUGACUGCAUGGCUAGAGUGCGGCAGAGGGGGAUGGAAUUCCGCGUGUAGCAGUGAAAUGCGUAGAGAUGCGGAGGAACACCGAUGGCGAAGGCAGCCCCCUGGGCUAGCACUGACGCUCAGGCACGAAAGCGUGGGGAGCAAACAGGG